GACGAACGCUUUCUUCUUUCUUAACACAUGCAAGUCGAACGGAAAGGCCCUGCUUUUGUGGGGUGCUCGAGUGGCGAACGGGUGAGUAACACGUGAGUAACCUGCCCUUGACUUUGGGAUAACUUCAGGAAACUGGGGCUAAUACCGGAUAGGAGCUCCUGCUGCAUGGUGGGGGUUGGAAAGUUUCGGCGGUUGGGGAUGGACUCGCGGCUUAUCAGCUUGUUGGUGGGGUAGUGGCUUACCAAGGCUUUGACGGGUAGCCGGCCUGAGAGGGUGACCGGCCACAUUGGGACUGAGAUACGGCCCAGACUCCUACGGGAGGCAGCAGUGGGGAAUAUUGCACAAUGGGCGGAAGCCUGAUGCAGCAACGCCGCGUGCGGGAUGAAGGAAUUCGGGUUGUAAACCGCUUUCGCCUGUGACGAAGCGUGAGUGACGGUAAUGGGUAAAGAAGCACCGGCUAAAUACGGG
rnacentral:rRNA from 1 species